UACGGGGGGAGCAAGCGUUGUUCGGAUUUACUGGGCGUAAAGGGCGCGUAGGCGGCCACCGCAAGUCGACUGUGAAAUCUCCGGGCUUAACCCGGAAAGGUCAGCCGAUACUGCGGGGCUAGAGUGCAGAAGGGGCAACUGGAAUUCUCGGUGUAGCGGUGAAAUGCGUAGAUAUCGAGAGGAACACCUGCGGCGAAGGCGGGUCGCUGGGCUGACACUGACGCUGAUGUGCGAAAGCUAGGGGAGCGAACGGG
rnacentral:rRNA from 1 species